AGAUUAGCUAGACACAGAGCACUGAUUGGUGUGUUUACAAACUUUGAGCUAGACACAGGGUGCUGAUUGGUGCGUUUACAAACCUUGAGAUAGACACAAAGUGCUGAUUGGUGCAUUUACAAACCUUUAGCUAGACAUAAAAGUUCUCCAAGUGCCCACCCCACUCAGGACCCCAGCUGGCUUCCCUAGUGGGUCUGGUGUGGGUCCGCUGGCGGAGCUGCCAGCCAGACACACGCCCCACGCCCGCACUCCUCAGCCCUUCCGCGGUCCAUGGGACCGGCCGUCGUGGAGCAGGGGGCGGCGCCCGUCGGGGAGGCUCCAGCCGCGCGGGAGCCAACGAUCUCCUCCGGGAGUGGUGGGCAGCAACUGUGAAAGGCCUGGUUCAAAAACCUCACAGCGGUUGUUUGCAGAGUUGUCCCUCCUGUGUACUCUCAAAGCCCCAGAAUGAAGCAAAGCAUCCUCCCUUUUCAAACUGGCACUCUUCCCAACCUUGAGGACCACUAGGCACUUUGAUUUUAAAGCCACAGUUACUUUUAUGGAGAAGUAUUGUUAUGAAAAAAGGGAGGCAUCUGAGGAGCAGAAACAGAGAAAUGAGUGACUGAGAUCAGUGUCUUAUUUUGACCAUCUUUUCCAAGUGCUGCAUCCUCCCAAACACAACAUGAACUCAACACUUAAUAAAGCUGCAGUCCUA